GAUGAACGCUGGCGGCGUGCUUAACACAUGCAAGUCGAACGAUGAAGCCCAGCUUGUUGGGUGGGCUCGAGUCGCACGGGUGAGUAACACGUGAGUAACAUCUCCCUAACUCUGGGAUAAGCCUGGAAAACACGGUCUAAUAUCGCAUAUGAGCGCCUACGGUACGGGGGGUGUUGGAUAGAUUUUUCGGUUUUGGAUGGACUCGCGGCCUAUCAGCUUGUUGGUGGGGUAUUGUGUCUCCAAGGCGCUGACGGGUAGCCGGCCUGAGAGGGUGACCGGCCACACUGGGACUGAGACACGGCCCAGACUCCUACGGGAGGCAGCAGUGGGGAAUAUUGCACAAUGGGCGGAAGCCUGAUGCAGCAACGCCGCGUGAGGGAUGACGGCCUUCGGGUUGUAAACCGCUUUCAGUAGGGAAGAAGCGAAAGUGACGGUACCUGCAGAAGAAGCACCGGCUAACUACGUG
rnacentral:rRNA from 1 species